rnacentral:rRNA from 1 species
AUACGUAGGAUGCAAGCGUUGUCCGGAAUUACUGGGCGUAAAGGGUCCGUAGGCGGUUUGUUAAGUCUCCUGUGAAAGUUCAGGGCUCAACCCUGAAAUGUCGGGGGAUACUGGCAAACUUGAGACUGUCAGAGGCAAGUGGAAUUCCCGGUGUAGUGGUGAAAUGCGUAGAUAUCCGGAGGAACACCAGUGGCGAAAGCGGCUUGCUGGGACAGUUCUGACGCUGAGAGACGAAAGCGUGGGUAGCAAACCGGAUUAGAAACCCCGGUAGUCC